GAUGAACGCUGGCGGCGUGCCUAAUACAUGCAAGUCGAGCGAACGGACGAGAAGCCUGCUUUUCUGAUGUUAGCGGCGGACGGGUGAGUAACACGUGGAUAACCUACCUAUAAGACUGGGAUAACUUCGGGAAACCGGAGCUAAUACCGGAUAAUAUUUUGAACCGCAUGGUUCAAAAGUGAAAGACGGUCUUGCUGUCACUUAUAGAUGGAUCCGCGCUGCAUUAGCUAGUUGGUAAGGUAACGGCUUACCAAGGCAACGAUGCAUAGCCGACCUGAGAGGGUGAUCGGCCACACUGGAACUGAGACACGGUCCAGACUCCUACGGGAGGCAGCAGUAGGGAAUCUUCCGCAAUGGGCGAAAGCCUGACGGAGCAACGCCGCGUGAGUGAUGAAGGUCUUCGGAUCGUAAAACUCUGUUAUUAGGGAAGAACAUAUGUGUAAGUAACUGCGCACAUCUUGACGGUACCUAAUCAGAAAGCCACGGCUAACUACGUG
rnacentral:rRNA from 1 species